UAAUACGGAGGGUGCAAGCGUUAAUCGGAAUUACUGGGCGUAAAGCGCACGCAGGCGGUUUGUUAAGUCAGAUGUGAAAUCCCCGGGCUCAACCUGGGAACUGCAUUUGAAACUGGCAAGCUAGAGUCUCGUAGAGGGGGGGUAGAAUUCCAGGUGUAGCGGUGAAAUGCGUAGAGAUCUGGAGGAAUACCGGUGGCGAAGGCGGCCCCCUGGACGAAGACUGACGCUCAGGUGCGAAAGCGUGGGGAGCAAACAGGAUUAGAUACCCUGGUAGUCCACGCUGUAAACGAUGUCGAUUUGGAGGUUGUGCCCUUGAGGCGUGGCUUCCGGAGCUAACGCGUUAAAUCGACCGCCUGGGGAGUACGGCCGCAAGGUUA
rnacentral:rRNA from 1 species